UAGGGAAUCUUCCACAAUGGGACGAAAGUCUGAUGGAGCAACGCCGCGUGAGUGAAGAAGGGUUUCGGCUCGUAAAACUCUGUUGUUAAAGAAGAACAUAUCUGAGAGUAACUGUUCAGGUAUUGACGGUAUUUAACCAGAAAGCCGCGGCUAACUACGUGCCAG
rnacentral:rRNA from 1 species